GAUGAACGCUAGCUACAGGCUUAACACAUGCAAGUCGAGGGGAAACGAUAUUGGAAGCUUGCUUCCGAUAGGCGUCGACCGGCGCACGGGUGAGUAACGCGUAUCCAACCUGCCCACCACUUGGGGAUAACCUUGCGAAAGUAAGACUAAUACCCAAUGAUAUCUCUAGAAGACAUCUGAAGGAGAUUAAAGAUUCAUCGGUGAUGGAUGGGGAUGCGUCUGAUCAGCUUGUUGGCGGGGUAACGGCCCACCAAGGCGACGAUCAGUAGGGGUACUGACAGGAAGGUCCCCCACAUUGGAACUGAGACACGGUCCAAACUCCUACGGGAGGCAGCAGUGAGGAAUAUUGGUCAAUGGGCGAGAGCCUGAACCAGCCAAGUAGCGUGCAGGAUGACGGCCCUAUGGGUUGUAAACUGCUUUUAUAAGGGAAUAAAGUGAGCCUCGUGAGGCUUUUUGCAUGUACCUUAUGAAUAAGGACCGGCUAAUUCCGUGCCAGCCGCCGCAGUAA
rnacentral:rRNA from 1 species